CUACAUUUUGUCCUCCUUUUUUUGGAGAAAGGUCUUAGUGAUUAAGUCAAUACGGUGUUGAUUUUUAUGACAAUAACCAAUGAUUUCUAAUUAUUUUGGUGAUUAAAGUGACUCAGGAAAAUUUAAAGUCACAGUUUUUGAUAUAUGGAAGUCUAGGCAUUAGAAGAGGCCCGAAUUUUGUGAGAUUUCUUAAAAGACUGUGAAAACUCCAUUUUGUGUGACUGAGUGCUCAUAUCAAGACUAAGCGAUGGAAAGUUUCCUGCUCAAG